AUUGAACGCUGGCGGCAGGCUUAACACAUGCAAGUCGAGCGGGGGAAGGUAGCUUGCUACUGGACCUAGCGGCGGACGGGUGAGUAAUGCUUAGGAAUCUGCCUAUUAGUGGGGGACAACAUCUCGAAAGGGAUGCUAAUACCGCAUACGUCCUACGGGAGAAAGCAGGGGAUCUUCGGACCUUGCGCUAAUAGAUGAGCCUAGGUCGGAUUAGCUAGUUGGAGGGGUAAAGGCCUACCAAGGCGACGAUCUGUAGCGGGUCGGAGAGGAUGAUCCGCCACACUGGGACUGAGACACGGCCCAGACUCCUCCGGGGGGCAGCAGUGGGGAAUAUUGGACAAUGGGGGGAACCCUGGUCCAGCCAUGCCGCGUGUGUGAAGAAGGCCUUAUGGUUGUAAAGCACUUUAAGCGAGGAGGAGGCUACUUUAGUUAAUACCUAGAGAUAGUGGACGUUACUCGCAGAAUAAGCACCGGCUAACUCUGUGCCAGCCGCCGCAGUAA
rnacentral:rRNA from 1 species